UACGUAGGGUGCAAGCGUUAAUCGGAAUUACUGGGCGUAAAGCGUGCGCAGGCGGUUAUAUAAGACAGUUGUGAAAUCCCCGGGCUCAACCUGGGAACUGCAUCUGUGACUGUAUAGCUAGAGUACGGUAGAGGGGGAUGGAAUUCUGCGUGUAGCAGUGAAAUGCGUAGAUAUGCGGAGGAACACCGAUGGCGAAGGCAAUCCCCUGGACCUGUACUGACGCUCAUGCACGAAAGCGUGGGGAGCAAACAGG
rnacentral:rRNA from 1 species